UACGUAGGUGGCAAGCGUUGUCCGGAUUUACUGGGCGUAAAGAGCGCGCAGGCGGUCGUUCAAGUCGCGUGUGAAAGCCCCCGGCUCAACUGGGGAGGGUCACGCGAUACUGAUCGACUCGAAGGCAGGAGAGGGUAGUGGAAUUCCCGGUGUAGUGGUGAAAUGCGUGAGAUAUCGGGAGGAACACCAGUGGCGAAGGCGACUACCUGGCCUGUUCUUGACGCUGAGGCGCGAAAGCUAGGGGAGCAAACGGG
rnacentral:rRNA from 1 species